AUUGAACGCUAGCGGGAUGCCUUACACAUGCAAGUCGAACGGAGUGGCGAACGGGUGAGUAAUGUAUCGGAACGUGCCCAGUAGCGGGGGAUAACUACGCGAAAGCGUAGCUAAUACCGCAUACUAUUGGAGCGGCAGAUAUCGGAUGAGCUGGUUGGGGGGGUAACGGCUCACCAAGGCGACGAUCCGUAGCUGGGUUGAGAGGACGACCAGCCACGCUGGGACUGAGACUAGGCCCCGACUCCUACGGGCUGCAGCCGUGGGGAAUGUUGGACAAUGGGGAAAGCCCUGAUCCAGCCAUCCCGCGUGUGCUAUGAAGUCCUUCGGUUUGUAAAGCACUUUUGGCAGGAAAGCGGUACCUGCAGAAUAAGCCCCGGCUGACUACGUGCCAGCCGCCGCGGUAAUUC
rnacentral:rRNA from 1 species